CUGGCCAACAUGGUGAACCCCGUCUCUUUUGUAUUUUGUAAAAAAUACAAAAAAUUAAUGGGCGUGGUGGCGGGCGCCUGGAAUCCCAGCUACUCAGGAGGCUGAGGCAGGAGAAUCACUUGAACCUGGGAGGCAGAGAUUACAGUGAACCAAGAUCGCACCACUGCACUCCAGCCCAGGUGACAAUGUGAGACUCCGUCUCAGAAAAAAAAAAAAAAAGUCAAGAAAUUUGGCUCUAGUGUCAACUGGGUCUGAAUUUGAAUCCUAGAUUUGUUGUUUAUUAGCAACGUCACCUUGGGGAGUCCCCAAACCUGGCUGGACCUUAGCUUCCUCAUUUUAAUAUUAGAUAGAUGGAAGAAAGAAUGAAAGAUUGGUUGGGAAAAUGGGGGAUGAGAGAAGGGAUGAAUGGGAAGGCAAUUGAAUAAGAGGUUGAUGGUUGGUUUGAUGGGUGGAUGGAUGGAUGGAUGGAUGGAUGGAUGGAUGGGUAGGUGGAUGGGUAGGUGGAAGAGUGAAUGGCUGUGGGCAUGAAUAUGUGAGAGCAUGAGUGAAUGAAUGAAUCAGUGAGCCAUUAGGUGAAUGGGGGGAAGAGUAAAUGAGUGAAUGAAUGAAUAAAUGCUUGAGUGAGUAAACAAGUUAGUACCUGGGUAAAUGAACUUCUAGUCCAGACUGAAAACAUAGUUCAUUGUUACCUUCCUUAGGUGCAAGGAACCUUUCAGAAGAAAGCAGGAAGGAAGAGAGAGUGGCCUGAAUCUUGGAUGACCACACUUUCAAGCCUCUGUAAGGAAGUGCCCUCUUCGCUUCCGGGAGAGCCGCGCGU
rnacentral:lncRNA from 1 species